CUUACACAUGCAAGUCGAGGGGUAACGAUGGUGCUUGCACCAGGCGACGACCGGCGGACGGGUGAGUAACGCGUAUGCAACCUACCUAUUGCAGGAAGAUAGCCCGAGGAAACUCGGAUUAAUAUUCCAUAAUAUCAUUUUUACACAUGUAUUAAUGAUUAAAGCUACGGCGGCAAUAGAUGGGCAUGCGUACCAUUAGCUAGUUGGUGAGGUAACGGCUCACCAAGGUUACGAUGGUUAGGGGGUCUUAAAGGAUGAUCCCCCACACUGGUACUGAGACACGGACCAGACUCCUACGGGAGGCAGCAGUGAGGAAUAUUGGGCAAUGGACGCAAGUCUGACCCAGCCAUGCCGCGUGCAGGAUGACUGCUCUAGUAGUUGUAAACUGCUUUUCUAUUUCAUGAACCCCUCUGACGUGUCAGGGGCUGACAGUAGAAUAGGAAUAAGCAUCGGCUAACUCCGUGCCAGCAGCCGCGGUAAUACGGAGGAUGCAAGCGUUAUCCGGAUUUACUAGGUUUAAAGGGUGCGUAGGCGGGGUAUCAAGUCAGUGGUGAAAUCCUGCAGCUCAACUGUAGAACUGCCAUUGAAACUGAUAUUCUUGAGUAUAGUUGAGGUAGGCGGAAUGUGUUAAGUAGCGGUGAAAUGCAUAGAGAUAACACAGAACACCGAUUGCGAAGGCAGCUUACUAAACUAUUACUGACACUGAGGUACGAAAGCGUGGGGAGCGAACAGGAUUAGAUACCCUGGUAGUCCACGCCGUAAACGUUGAUCACUAGUUGUUUGCGAUACAUUGUGAGCGACUGAACAAAAGCAUUAAGUGAUCCACCUGGGGAGUACGUUGGCAACGAUGAAACUCAAAGGAAUUGACGGGGGCCCGCACAAGCGGAGGAACAUGUGGUUUAAUUCGAUGAUACGCGAAGAACCUUACCUGGGCUUGACAUCCCGGGAAUUUCCCGGAAACGGGAAAGUGCCCUCCGGGGAGCCUGGUGACAGGUGCUGCAUGGCUGUCGUCAGCUCGUGUCGUGAGAUGUUGGGUUAAGUCCCGCAACGAGCGCAACCCUUAUCUUCAGUUACCAGCAUUUCGGGUGGGGACUCUGAAGAUACUGCCCCGGUCAACGGGGAGGAAGGUGGGGAUGACGUCAAGUCCUCAUGGCCUUUAUGCCCAGGGCUACACACGUGUUACAAUGGUCGAAACAAAGGGCAGCUACUUGGUGACAAGAUGCUAAUCUCUAAAAUCGAUCUCAGUUCGGAUCGAAGUCUGCAAUUCGACUUCGUGAAGUUGGAUUCGCUAGUAAUCGCGCAUCAGCAAUGGCGCGGUGAUACGUUCCCGGGCCUUGUACACACCGCCCGUCAAGCCAUGGAAGCUGGGGGUACCUGAAGUCUGUAACCGAGAGGAG
rnacentral:rRNA from 1 species